GAUGAACGCUGGCGGCGUGCUUAACACAUGCAAGUCGAACGGAAAGGCCCUGCUUUUGUUGGGUUCUCGUGUGGCGAACGGGUGAGUAACACGUGAGUAUCACGCCCCUGUCUUUGUGGUAUCUCCACGAGACUGGGGCUCUUACACCGUAGAAUCUCUUGCUGCACAGUGUGGGUUGGAAAGUUUCGGCUGUUGGGGCUGGACUCGCGGGUUAUGCGCUAGAUGGGGGAGUAGUGGCAUUCCAAGGCUUUGAAGGCUAGCCGGCCUGAGAGGGUUACCGGCCACAUUGGGACUGAGGUAGGGACCAGACUGGUAUGGGCGGCAAUAGGGGGGAACAUUGCACAACGGGCGGAAGCCUGAUGCAGCAACGUCGCGUGCGGGAAGACGGCCUUCGAGUUGUGAACCGCUGUGGCCUGUGACGAAGCGUGAGUGACGGUAAUGGGUAAAGAAGCACCGGCUAACUACGUG
rnacentral:rRNA from 1 species